rnacentral:tRNA from 1 species
GGGGCUGUAGCUCAGUGGCAGAGCGCUUGCCUUGGGUGUGGGAGACACUGGGUUCAAUCCUCAGCACCA